rnacentral:sRNA from 1 species
GAUACCAGGGUCGAAAAGUCAACAGCCGCCUAUGCUUGCAUUAAGGUGGCUGAUUGACCUUGAGACCCGCCAAAAUAUGAGGAAGAAGUGGGGCAGGGGCCCCAUGAAUUCCGAAUAUUUUGCAGAAUUGUGGAAGCACGAAGUGCGAAACAAUUCGC